UAUUGUGAUGAUAUUUUUCUUAUAUUCACACUGUCUAAGGGAUWGUUUAAUUACUUUUCCCAAUGAACACAAAAACGAAAAAAACUGAUUUAAUGACUCUGACC
rnacentral:snoRNA from 1 species